UACAGAGGUCCCAAGCGUUGUUCGGAUUCACUGGGCGUAAAGGGUGCGUAGGUGGCCAGGUAAGUUUGGUGUGAAAGCUCGGAGCUUAACUCCGAAAAGUCAUUGAAUACUAUCUGGCUGGAGGGUCGGAGGGGAGACUGGAAUUCCUGGUGUAGCGGUGAAAUGCGCAGAUAUCAGGAGGAACACCGGUGGCGAAGGCGGGUCUCUGGGCCGUAACUGACGCUGAGGAGCGAAAGCAUGGGGAGCGAACAGG
rnacentral:rRNA from 1 species